UAUUCUAGUUCAUCAAUAUAUAUAUUAUUUCAUCAUAUUAUGAAUAUGACUUUGUUCUAUUCUAUUAUAUUGGAUAUGACUUUGCUCUACUUGCUUAUAUUCUUAAUUAUAUUGUUCUUAGUCUAUUAUGAUUAUAUGCUUGGCAUAGUUGGUUUAGAUUUAUAUUCAAACAUAUGUUUAUAUAGCGCUCACUCUUUGAUAUCACGGGUGAGUGGUCGAUAUUAUGUAGGCGUGGUGACUAUAUCGUGUUUGCCUGUGUUUGCAUGCUAUGUUCCGGGUCGUGUGGUAGAUCGUGGGGG
rnacentral:lncRNA from 1 species